rnacentral:rRNA from 1 species
GUUGAAACACCAGUUCCCGUACGAUCAUCGAAGUUAAAGCAACGUUGAGCCUGAUCAGUACCUAGAUGGGUGACCGCUUGGGAAUGCCAGGUACAGU